CAGAGUUCUUUGCAACUCCCAACCCUGUGAACUUUAUCUAAUACGUUGUUGCUUCUGGCGGGCAGCCUUCGGGGUGCCUGCCAGCGGUGACCUGCUCCAACCUUCUUUUGUAUCUUUUUUACUGUCUGAGCUUCUAAAAAAAAAUAAAUCA
rnacentral:misc_RNA from 1 species